rnacentral:snRNA from 1 species
GAAUGUGAGGGUGAUCUGGCUGUGACAUCUGUUACCCCAUCGAUUUCCAGUACUGAUUCAGCUGAUCUGGCUGGCUAGGUGGUAUCCCCUUCCUUCCUCACCUCUCCAUGUGUGUCUCUUCUGAAGCUGCAUGCUCAAUUGAAGAAGAUGAUCAUCCCCAGUAGAAAUGGUCUACACAAAAUUAUCUAAUUCCUUGUUACUCAAAGUGUGGUCUGGGGACCAGCCCCAUUGUCAUCAUCU